rnacentral:rRNA from 1 species
GAGUGGUUCUGCGCCGACAAUGUAGUGGGGCUCAAGUACACCGCCGAAGCCGCGGAACUUCCAUCUUUUGGUGGGGGUUGGUAGGGGAGCGUCGUGUGGCCGGUGAAGGUGCGGGGUGACCCAGUGCUGGAGGCCAUGCGAGUGAGAAUGCAGGCAUGAGUAGCGAAUGACGAGUGAGAAACUCGUCCGCCGGAUGACUAAGGGUUCCUGGGUCAAGCUAAUCUUCCCAGGGUGAGUCGGGGCCUAAGGCGAGGCCGACAGGCGUAGUCGAUGGAUAACGGGUUGAUAUUCCCGUACCCGUGUGUCCGCGCCCAUGGUGAAUCAGGGAUACUAACCCACCUGAACACGCGCCGUUUACUAGCCUUUUAGGUUGGUUGGUGUGUGUGAUGCUGGGGACCUGAACUGGUAGUAGCCAAGUGAUGGGGUGACGCAGGAAGGUAGCCGAGCCACUUAUUGGAUUGUGGUGUAAGCGUGUGGCCCGUCAGCCUGGUAAAUCCGGUUGGCAUGAGGGUGAGGCGUGAUGCGUACCCGUUUGUGGGGAUGUCGGUGAUCCUAUGCUGUCGAGAAAAGCCUCUAGCGAUGUGCACAUUCGGCCCGUACCCAUAACCGACACAGGUGGUCAGGUAGAGAAUACUAAGGCGAUCGGGUGAACUGUGGUUAAGGAACUCGGCAAAAUGCCCCCGUAACUUCGGGAGAAGGGGGACCACUGCUGGUGACAGACUGGUUUUGAGCUGGUGGUGGUCGCAGAGAAUAGAGGGAAGCGACUGUUUACUAAAAACACAGGUCCGUGCGAAGACGGUAAGUCGAUGUAUACGGACUGACGCCUGCCCGGUGCUGGAAGGUUAAGAGGACCUGUUAGACCCUUGUGGUCGAAGCGGAGAAUUUAAGCCCCAGUAAACGGCGGUGGUAACUAUAACCAUCCUAAGGUAGCGAAAUUCCUUGUCGGGUAAGUUCCGACCUGCACGAAUGGCGUAACGACUUCUCUGCUGUCUCAACCACAGGCCCGGCGAAAUUGCAGUACGAGUAAAGAUGCUCGUUACGCGCGGCAGGACGAAAAGACCCCGGGACCUUCACUAUAGCUUGGUAUUGGUGUUCGGUUCGGUUUGUGUAGGAUAGGUGGGAGACUGUGAAGCGGCCACGCCAGUGGUUGUGGAGUCGUUGUUGAAAUACCACUCUGAUCGUAUUGGAUACCUGAACCUCGGCCCGUGAUCCGGGUUAGGGACAGUGCCUGGUGGGUAGUUUAACUGGGGCGGUUGCCUCCCAAAGUGUAACGGAGGCGCCCAAAGGUUCCCUCAGCCUGGUUGGCAAUCAGGUGUUGAGUGUAAGUGCACAAGGGAGCUUGACUGUGAGACUGACAGGUCGAGCAGGGACGAAAGUCGGGACUAGUGAUCCGGCACCGGCUUGUGGAAGCGGUGUCGCUCAACGGAUAAAAGGUACCCCGGGGAUAACAGGCUGAUCUUCCCCAAGAGUCCAUAUCGACGGGAUGGUUUGGCACCUCGAUGUCGGCUCGUCGCAUCCUGGGGCUGGAGUAGGUCCCAAGGGUUGGGCUGUUCGCCCAUUAAAGCGGCACGCGAGCUGGGUUUAGAACGUCGUGAGACAGUUCGGUCUCUAUCCGCCGCGCGCGUUGAAACUUGAGAAAGGCUGUCCCUAGUACGAGAGGACCGGGACGGACAUACCUCUGGUGGGCCAGUUGUCACGCCCGUGGCAUGGCUGGUUGGCUACGUAUGGGAGGGAUAACCGCUGAAAGCAUCUAAGCGGGAAGCCUGUUUCAAGAUGAGGUUUCGUUUGAGGUUCCCUGUAGAUGACGGGGUUGAUAGGCCGGAUCUGGACGCCAUGUAAGUGGUGGAGGUGACCGGUACUAAUUGACCGAAAUGACACACU